rnacentral:rRNA from 1 species
AGGGUUCGAUCCUGGCUCAGGACGAACGCUGGCGGCGUGCUUAACACAUGCAAGUCGAGCGGGGAUGCCGUUGGAAGUCCUUCGGGAUGGAAGACGGUAUUCUAGCGGCGGACGGGUGAGUAACGCGUGAACAAUCUGUCCCAGACAGGGGGAUAACAGAUGGAAACAUCUGCUAAUACCGCAUAAGACCACGGGAUCACGUGGUUCUGAGGUAAAAGGAGCAAUCCGGUCUGGGGUGAGUUCGCGUCCGAUUAGCUAGUUGGCGAGGUAACGGCCCACCAAGGCGGCGAUCGGUAGCCGACCUGAGAGGGUGAUCGGCCACAUUGGAACUGAGAGACGGUCCAA